ACGGGUGAGUAACACGUGGGUAACCUACCUAUAAGACUGGGACAACUUCGGGAAACCGGAGCUAAUACCGGAUAAUAUGUUGAACCGCAUGGUUCAAUAGUGAAAGAUGGUUUUGCUAUCACUUAUAGAUGGACCCGCGCCGUAUUAGCUAGUUGGUGAGGUAACGGCUCACCAAGGCAACGAUACGUAGCCGACCUGAGAGGGUGAUCGGCCACACUGGAACUGAGACACGGUCCAGACUCCUACGGGAGGCAGCAGUAGGGAAUCUUCCGCAAUGGGCGAAAGCCUGACGGAGCAACGCCGCGUGAGUGAUGAAGGUCUUAGGAUCGUAAAACUCUGUUAUUAGGGAAGAACAAACGUGUAAGUAACUGUGCACGUCUUGACGGUACCUAAUCAGAAAGCCACGGCUAACUACGUGCCAGCAGCCGCGGUAAUACGUAGGUGGCAAGCGUUAUCCGGAAUUAUUGGGCGUAAAGCGCGCGUAGGCGGUUUUUUAAGUCUGAUGUGAAAGCCCACGGCUCAACCGUGGAGGGUCAUUGGAAACUGGAAAACUUGAGUGCAGAAGAGGAAAGUGGAAUU
rnacentral:rRNA from 1 species